CUGAAACUGUAGCCAUACGCACAGUCGACCGUCGCAAACUGCCCAUGCCGCAAGCUGUCCUACAAGUUCUUCAUGCCGUUUGAAGUAACAGAGUGGAUUGGGACUUUGGCAUAUCGCCUGCAGUUGCCUCCAGACAGCCGUAUCCAUCUGGUAUUUCACAUCUCCCAGCUCAAACCCUUCACCCCAGAUUAUACCCCAGUCUUCACCGAGCUACCGCGGGUGCCUGAUCUCUCUGGGGGUGAAACGGAGCCUGUGGUGAUCGUGGAGCGGAGGAUGAUGAAGAAGGGCGAUGCACCAGUUGUGCAACUCCGUGUCCAAUGGGAAAACAUGCCACCAUCAGCCACCACUUGGGAAGAUUACGCCGUUCUUCGCCAGCGCUACCCAUCAGCCUGCAUGUGGGAAGGAGCUUCAUCUCAAGGGGAGGACAAUGUCGCGCCUACUGAUGCAUCAGUAGCGGACUAA
rnacentral:rRNA from 1 species